AUAGCGUAUAUUAAAGUUGUUGCGGUUAAAAAGCUCGUAGUUGGAUUUCUGUAUUGCUAGACCGGUCCACUCUCUGAGUAGGUACCAGGCUCUGGACGUACAUUAUUUCUAGAAUACGCAUAUGCACUUCAUUGUGUAGUGCGCACUCUAGGUCGUUUACUUUGAGGAAAUUAGAGUGUUUCAAGCAGGCGUAUGCCUUGAAUACAUUAGCAUGGAAUAAUAAAAUAUGACUUCGGCCUUAUUUUGUUGGUUUAUAGGGCUGAAGUAAUGACAAAUAGGAACAGUCGGGGGCAUUCGUAUUUAGCUGUCAGAGGUGAAAUUCUUGGAUUUGCUAAAGACGAACUACUGCGAAAGCAUUUGCCAAGGAUGUUUUCAUUGAUCAAGAACGAAAGUUAGGGGAUCGAAGACGAUCAGAUACCGUCCUAGUCUUAACCAUAAACCAUGCCGACUAGAGAUUGGAGGUUGCUCGUUAUUGACACCUUCAGCAUCUUAUGAGAAAUCAAAGUCUUUGGGUUCCGGGGGGAGUAUGGUCGCAAGGCUGAAACUUAAA
rnacentral:rRNA from 1 species